AUUCCCCUAGUAACUGCGAGUGAAGCGGGAUCAGCUCAAAUUUUGAAUCUGGCGGGGGGUCUUCCCCGUCCGAGUUGUAAUCUAGAGAAGCAUCUUCCAGCCCUGCCUCCGUGUACAAGUCUCCUGGAAGGGAGCAUCAUAGAGGGUGAGAAUCCCGUCUUUGACACGGAACGGUCAGUGCCUUGUGAUCUGCUCUCGACGAGUCGAGUUGUUUGGGAAUGCAGCUCAAAAUGGGUGGUAAACUCCAUCUAAAGCUAAAUACAGGCGAGAGACCGAUAGCGAACAAGUACCGUGAGGGAAAGACGAAAAGAACUUUGAAAAGAGAGUUAAACAGUACGUGAAAUUGCUGAAAGGGAAACGCUUGAUGUCAGUCGCAUCCUCCGGGGAUCAACCUUGCUUUCGAGCUCGGUGCAUUUCCUGGUUCUGGAUGGGUCAGCAUCAGUUUCGAUCGUCGUACAAAGGCAUGCAGGAACGUGGCACUCUUCGGAGUGUGUUAUAGCCUCGAGUCACAUGCGCCGGUCGGGACUGAGGAUCUCAGCACUACCCAGCGUGGUGCUUAGGAUGCUGGCAUAAUGGCCUUAAGCGACCCGUCUUGAAACACGGACCAAGGAGUCUAACAUGCCUGCGAGUGUUCGGGUGCCAAAACUCGAGCGCGCAAUGAAAGUGAAAGUCGAGAUCUCUGUCGUGGAGAGCAUCGACGCCCGGACUUGAACUCUUUCGAGACGAUGGAUCUGCGGUAGAGCAUGCAUGUUGGGACCCGAAAGAUGGUGAACUAUGCCUGAAUAGGGUGAAGCCAGAGGAAACU
rnacentral:rRNA from 1 species